GGAGUCUGGGCCGUGUCUCAGUCCCAAUGUGGCCGUUCAACCUCUCAGUCCGGCUACUGAUCGUCGCCAUGGUGGGCCGUUACCUCACCAUCUAGCUAAUCAGACGCGAGCCCAUCUUUGAGUGAUAAAUCUUUGGUAGUAUGACCAUGCGGUCGCACUACGUUAUGAGGUAUUACCAUCCGUUUCCAGAAGCUAUCCCUCUCUCAAAGGCAGGUUGCUCACGUGUUACUCACCCGUCCGCCACUAAGAAUGUCUAAGUAAACUCAAACAUUCUCCGUUCGACUUGCAUGUGUUAAGCGUGCCGCCAGCGUCGUCCUGAGCCACUGAUCAAACUACU
rnacentral:rRNA from 1 species